rnacentral:rRNA from 1 species
CGCAUCUGUGCAUGCAGCAUAUCAAUAAGCGGAGGAAAAGAAACUAACAAGGAUUCCCCUAGUAACGGCGAGUGAAGCGGGAAGAGCUCAAAUUUGAAAUCUUAAAGGGUUUCCCUUUACGAAUUGUAGUUUAAAGAAGUGUUUUCUGUUGAGGUUUUGGUAAAAGUUCUUUGGAAUAGGACAUCAUAGAGGGUGAGAAUCCCGUAUUUGACCUUUACUUUCAACUUUGUGAUACACUUUCAAAGAGUCGGAUUGUUUGGGAAUGCAGUCCAAAAUGGGUGGUAAAUUUCAUCUAAAGCUAAAUAUUGGCGAGAGACCGAUAGCGAACAAGUACCGUGAGGGAAAGAUGAAAAGAACUUUGAAAAGAGAGUUAAACAGUACGUGAAAUUGUCAAAAGGGAAGCGUUUGACACCAGUGUUGUUUUUCUGAAAAUCAAUUAAAGAACUGUUUAUGCUAAGUUGUUUAGACUUUAUCAGCUAACUGUUUAGUUUUGAGCUUUUCUUUAAUGCACUUUUCAGUUAACAAGUCAACAUCAAUUUCUUUGCUGUAAAAAAGCUUGAGGAAGGUGGCUUGAGAUUCGUCUUAAGUGUUUAUAGCCUCUUGCCUAUGCAGUCGGAGAGAUUGAGGUCUGCAGCGUAGAUCCUUCGGGGCUAAAUGCAUUUGUGCUAAGUUAUAGCAUUUUAUAGACAACUUGUUGACUAUGAUUUGUCUUGUAGCUUACUCGCUUAUGUUAUUUUACCUACGCUUAGGAUGUUGAACGCGCACAGAGUCUC